UUAUAAUGGGCACCCCCGGCUUGGGAACAAACCUUUCUUACAGGCGUUAUCAGUUCAAGUGCGCACAGCUCGAGAACCAUUUAUUGGAGCCUGGAGCCAAAAAUAGACGGAACCUGCAGGUGGCCUCUGGGACUGUAAGAGACCCAAGGGGAUGAUAACGUUGGGUCGAGGUCUCGUCUGUAUGUUGACAGAUAGUGGAAACAUCUGGUCACCCACAAAGCACAUCAUGCCAGCCAACACAAGACCAGGAAGAGAAGCAGACCAACGCUGUUGACAUCAGCUAACUACACGCCAGCCACUCUCCAGGCACGCUGGAAGGACACUUCACCGGUCACUAAGAUCACUCCAGAAGACUGACAUGACACUAUUAGUGACAUUAGCUAUUAGGCUACUGUGGGACACUGGUCCGGCUGACAUCCAUUGAUAUAGUGUACCCAAACCAAGAGCAAGGAUGCUAACUCAGAAGGACUAAACCACACUUGUGUCUGUCUAAGACAUCAGAUAAAUCCCACACUCCGAGGUCUUUCUUAUGGAAUCAAAACAAAAUAGCUACACUUGUUUAGACGUGAAUGUAUACCUUUCAUUUUGUAUGUCUAUGAUACUGUCAAAAGGAUACAUUGUAAACCUACUACUAGUAUUGUAAGAAAUGCUACUAUCACCGAGGGUAUAGACAUUGGUAUGACUCUCCAAAGAGGAGGAUAUCGAAAACUUUCACUCAUAGCAUAGAUCUGAUACCUCUGACAACAAAAAGUGAGGUGCCAGGCAGAAAAUGCUACACAGGCAGGUUUAAUGGACAGGUGAUCCUGAUGUGACUCUGGAAAAAAGGUAUGAGAGAUCAGCCAAAAUGCACUCUGAAACCUGUCAUCAGGAACCUAAGUUAUUGAAAAAGAUCAUUUACAUCCAUGCAAAGAUUAUGUUCCUGCCAAUACCUAGGUGGACUUUACGUGCCAACCACCGUGGGUGUACUUGAGUGUUAGGACCAUUGUUAACCAAUACUCCGGAAACCCUGUCUUUUGGGGUAAUAUCUUUAUGGGAACGGUUUCUUGCUCCCUCCCAAUAGUCCCAGAUUUCAGGCAGGCCACUGGAUUCGGGGUCUAUUGGCUUCCCAUUCUAAUACUGAAAGACAUUCUGGUAUUGGAAAGCAAAGCCUCAGUG
rnacentral:lncRNA from 1 species